rnacentral:rRNA from 1 species
CAGUCGCCGCGGUAAUACGGAGGGUGCAAACGUUGCUCGGAAUUAUUGGGCGCAAAGCGCACGUAGGCGGCCAAGUAAGUCGGGUGUGAAAGCCCAGGGCUUAACCCUGGAAGUGCACUCGAAACUGCUUGGCUUGAAUGUGGAAGAGGGUCGCGGAAUUCCCGGUGUAGAGGUGAAAUUCGUAGAUAUCGGGAGGAACACCAGUGGCGAAGGCGGCGACCUGGGCCAACAUUGACGCUGAGGUGCGAAAGCGUGGGGAGCAAACAGGAUUAGAUACCCCCGUAGUCCCUGUCUCUUAUAC